CAUCGGAACGUGCCCAGUCGUGGGGGAUAACUACUCGAAAGAGUAGCUAAUACCGCAUACGAUCUGAGGAUGAAAGCGGGGGACCUUCGGGCCUCGCGCGAUUGGAGCGGCCGAUGGCAGAUUAGGUAGUUGGUGGGAUAAAAGCUUACCAAGCCGACGAUCUGUAGCUGGUCUGAGAGGACGACCAGCCACACUGGGACUGAGACACGGCCCAGACUCCUACGGGAGGCAGCAGUGGGGAAUUUUGGACAAUGGGCGAAAGCCUGAUCCAGCAAUGCCGCGUGCAGGAUGAAGGCCUUCGGGUUGUAAACUGCUUUUGUACGGAACGAAAAAGCUUCUCCUAAUACGAGAGGCCCAUGACGGUACCGUAAGAAUAAGCACCGGCUAACUACGUGCCAGCAGCCGCGGUAAUACGUAGGGUGCGAGCGUUAAUCGGAAUUACUGGGCGUAAAGCGUGCGCAGGCGGUUAUGUAAGACAGAUGUGAAAUCCCCGGGCUCAACCUGGGAACUGCAUUUGUGACUGCAUGGCUAGAGUACGGUAGAGGGGGAUGGAAUUCCGCGUGUAGCAGUGAAAUGCGUAGAUAUGCGGAGGAACACCGAUGGCGAAGGCAAUCCCCUGGACCUGUACUGACGCUCAUGCACGAA
rnacentral:rRNA from 1 species